rnacentral:antisense_RNA from 10 species
UUCUAUGGGCGGGCCUUGGUGGGGAGACCUUAGGGUCUGCCGGCUGCUUGUGUGACCGGUUCGCCAACCCUGCCGUGCGCCCGCUCACCUCA